GAUGAAGAACGUAGCGAAAUGCGAUAAGUAAUGUGAAUUGCAGAAUUCAGUGAAUCAUCGAAUCUUUGAACGCACCUUGCACCCUUUGGUAUUCCGAAGGGUAUGCUCGUUUGAGUGUCAUUGUACUCUCACACUUCUAAUUCCUUUCGGGAUUGGGAGCGGUGGACUUGGGUGUUGCUGCUUUAGUUGUGGCUCACCUCAAAUAAGUUAGUGCAACUCUUGGUUGGACAUAGUACGGCGUGAUAAGUGUCUUCGCCGGCGCCUCUGUAAGGAGGGUGGCCGAUCGGGAGCUCUGUGCUUCAAACCGUCUUCGGACAAUCUUUGACAACUUGACCUCAAAUCAAGUAGGACUACCCGCUGAACUUAAGCAUAUCAAUAAGCGGAGGA
rnacentral:misc_RNA from 1 species